AUCGCUCACACGCUAUGGCACAGCACUCAUAAUGCUGGGGUCGGUGGUUCAAAUCCACCU
rnacentral:tRNA from 1 species